UCUCGAGCUUAAACAAACACUUAAUUAUAUUAAGGAUACUCAAGUCGUAGAAUCAAUCUCGAUCUCUCAGCCAAAGUCGGGUUCCAUCAACAUGUCUAAGAAGAUUAAUACAGUAGUGAUUCUUCUCAUCCUAGCUCUCGUGCAAAUGAUGGCUGGAAAAGCAACAGGAGAAUGUAGUAUAGGAUAUGAAUCAUGUCGUGGAUUAUUUAAAAGCUGUUGUGCGGGCUUUUAUUGUUCCACCCGGGACAGUAGUUUCCAAUGCAAACCAUACCCAAAUCCGAGCUGCAAACAAGUCGGGCAAAAUUGUGGUGGAGGUCAAGGCCACUGUUGUGGUAAAAGCAAUUGUUCAGGCCGCUUUUUUGGGGGCACUUGUCAAAAGCCUUGAUAUUUGAUAAUAUUCACAAAUACCACCGUAUUGUUCAGGCCGCUUCCUAUUGAAGUACUUUGUUAAUUUCUUUGUAAUUUCUGUGUGGAUUUACCUUGAUUUGAAGGUAUGGUGUUCCUAGCCGGUGUGUGGAAUUUAUUUCUGUUUGGAAUUACCUUAAUGAUAAAUAAUAAUUGUUUGGGCUCCCAAUUGAGACCAUUCUCCAAAUGGUGAGUAUACACGGAAAUGAACCCCCUCGGUGGAUGAGUCACCCGAGGACGCUCUUGUUCAGGAAGCUCGCACCAGUACCCCAAGGCAUGCUGAAUUCCGUAUAGCUCCUCGGCCUUCCGAUGAUAAUUCCCUAACUUCGCUUCCACCAACCAGUCACCGCUGACCGAUUUCUCCAACGGACCGUCGAUCUGCGUGGUCUCAUGCAAAAUUGAGGCAUACUUGCCCUUCGGAUCAGCUUCCGUCCAAU